rnacentral:rRNA from 1 species
GAUGAACGCUGGCGGCGUGCCUAAUACAUGCAAGUCGAGCGAACGGACGAGAAGCUUGCUUCUCUGAUGUUAGCGGCGGACGGGGGAGUAAAACGUGGAUAACCUACCUAUAAGACUGGGAUAACUUCGGGAAACCGGAGCUAAAAACGGAUAAUAUUUUGAACCGCAUGGUGCAAAAGUGAAAGACGGUCUUGCUGUCACUUAUAGAUGGAUCCGGGCUGCAUUAGCUAGUUGGUAAGGUAACGGCUUACCAAGGCAACGAUGCAUAGCCGACCUGAGAGGGUGACCGGCCACACUGGAACUGAGACACGGUCCAGACUCCUACGGGAGGCAGCAGUAGGGAAUCUUCCGCAAUGGGCGAAAGCCUGACGGAGCAACGCCGCGUGAGUGAUGAAGGUCUUCGGAUCGUAAAACUCUGUUAUUAGGGAAGAACAUAUGUGUAAGUAACUGUGCACAUCUUGACGUUACCUAAUCAGAAAGCCACGGCUAACUCCGUG